AUUAAGUUUUUUAACCCAAGGGACUAUCUUUUUAACUCAAACCAAUUCAUUAUUGGCCGGAAAGUACACAUGAGAUCCCAAACGGUGAAAUCUUGACAUAAUUUAUAAAUUUUUGAAUUAUAUUUAAUAAAUAAAACAUAACAUUGUUGUUUCAACAAAAAAAAUGUCAUCUUGGGUCUAAUUUGGUUCAUCUCAAUGCCUACUUUAUUAUUUCUACCAUUAAAAAAUAAAAAUUUGACAUUAACUACCAUUAAAAUGACCACGUUUGACAUUUGAUAGUUGUUUAAUUUUUUAUUUCAUCAACCUACCGCCCAAAUCCCAAAAUUAUAGUUAUUGCGACCACUUAACUGAAUCUGUUAGGGUUCUGUUAAGUGGGGCCAUUAUUUCAUUAAAUAAUAAUUUAAUUUAUUAAAAAAAAGAAAAAAAAAACUUAUCUACAACCCUUAAAAUGUUUCACCUUGUUCCCUUAUGAAUAGUAGCAACAUGUGCCAAUUGCAUGUGUAAGCUGAUGUGGCAAGGGUGUGGUAAACUACCUCAAAACUCCUUUCCUGCACCUCGAUUGUAUCACUUAGCAUGCGUUUUUGCAAACAAUGGAAUCUUGACCUUGGCUUUUUUCUUCAAUAUUUUACUUUCCUAAAAUAUUUAUCUCUUCUCUCUCUUCUUCCUCCCUGUUCACUUUCACUACAACCAUCAACAAUGAGCCUAAUUGGGUUAUCAGAACCCUAAUUUUUUAAUUUCUCUCUUCUUUUUCUUAAUGGAUUCCAUUGUUGUAGCACCUUCUGGGCUUUCUCAUCUCCAUCAAGUUCAGCUUCUAAUCUAAGAAUUUUUUUUUAAGCUAUGGCUAAUCAAUUUAGUUGUGACCACCGAUCAAGAGCUGGUUUACUUAAUGGUGCCACAGUCAACAGCACCGGUAGAGACCAGCGAAUGAGCGGCUGGGUCGUUCUUCAAUUUUCGAUGGUUCGCAAUGUGAGAUUCUUGAAGAAGGGCGAGAUGCUCAGAGGGUCGGUCCUGGUUCUCCUGUUUACCUACUCUUUCUGUUGUUCUUGAGUAUCUCACUGCUAAGAACAUCCAUGGUUUAAAGAAGACAAUGAUCUGAUAGUUCUGAGAAACUUAUUGACAGCGCUAUUCUUAUGAGAAUGAAGCAGUUCAGAGCUAUGAACAAACUGAAGAAGCUCGCUCUCAUGAGGUUGUAGAUAUGAGGAGAAGAAAAGCAAGGGAUAAUAAAUGCUCUUUAUCAAGUAGCUUUUAAUUUAAGGGACAUAUGGCUGUUAGGGAAGAGCUCUUUCGGCGUCACAUUGCUACUGAUCAUUUGUGUCCUUGCUGCAGCCUGGUGGGGGAGUACGUGAAUCGUGUCCUUUUCGAAUGCACAAAGGCUAAAGAGGUAUGUGCGAGUAGUAUCUUUCAAGUCUGAUUGAUGAAGCUCCUGUAGGUUCUUUUAUGGAUAAUUUGUUUUGGUUUAACAGCAAAUUAGAGAAACAGGAAUUGCGUAUAUUGCUUGCUCUGGCCUGGUCUAAUUGGUAUUGCAGGAACAAAUUUUUUUCAUGAGCAACAGUCCCUAAAUGUUGUCUACACAGCAGCGAGUUUUGCUAAACUUAUGUCUAAUUAUUGCUCCUACGCUAAGCGAGUCUUUGUGAAGAAUGGUGCCCCUGCUGCCCCUAUGGUCAGCUCUUGGACGAAGCCUCCUGCUGGGGUUACCAAGAUCAAUAUUGAUGCCUAUAUUACUGGGUCGUUUGCUUCGGUUGGCGCUAUGUCUCAAAAUGAACAUGGUGGUUUAGUGUGGGCUACUGUCAGACGGCUGGAAGGAGAAUGGAUGUGGAAAGUGCUGAAGCUGCUGCUGUUAUAUUCGGUUUACAGCAAGCUAGUAGAUGGGGUAGCAGGAACAACAGCUUGGGUUUCUCUCCUCUAUGGCUAAUUUAUGAUGAUAUUAGAGCUAUGUCUAAUUGGUUUGAUUUUUGUUACUUUUCACAUGUCAAGUGAGUAGGCAAUGUGGUGGCUCAUCUCGUUGCAAGGUGGGACACCCGUGGUAGUACGGAAACUCCUUUCUUUAAAGCUUAAUUACUUGGCGGAAAGCGAUAUUUAAUAAAUAGCCUGCUAAUCUUGCUUCAAAAAAA